rnacentral:rRNA from 1 species
CACGUAGGGUGCGAGCGUUGUCCGGAAUUAUUGGGCGUAAAGAGCUCGUAGGCGGUGUGUCGCGUCGGCCGUGAAAACCUGCAGCUUAACUGUGGGCGUGCGGUCGAUACGGGCAUCACUGGAGUUCGGCAGGGGAGACUGGAAUUCCUGGUGUAGCGGUGGAAUGCGCAGAUAUCAGGAAGAACACCCGUGGCGAAGGCGGCUCUCUGGAACGCAACUGACGCUGAGACGCGAAAGCGUGGGGAGCAAACAGG